AAUGUAAUAAAUGUCCACAUCCCCACACUAUACACCCCUCUUGACUCCACCCCUCCCUCCUUUGUGAUUUUAAUUGAGAGUCCCUUCACCUUUAAAAAGAAAAUAGAUGAGCGGUCUGCACCCGCAAGGCGGUGCUCUUGUUAUAUAUAGCAAUUACCAAAAUACUACACUCAAUUGUGUUGUUGUUGUUUUUUACAAUAAAAAGCCCAUAUAUAUUUUUCAAGCAUGUUCAUUCUCUUACGAUCUAACGAUUUGUGUCAGAAAUAUGUUAACAAAAUUAAAGCCACACACCUUGAAAUGAAAUACAUGUUAAUCAAUACGUAAAGAUGCAAUUUGUAAGUGUGCAAAAUUUUCAUUAAAUCUAUAGCCUAGUUAGCAAGUAAUUUAUUAUUUAAAUUUUUAAACCGAAAGUAGGAUUUCUAUACGUUUAUGUCCAUUUGGACAGCGUGAUUAUUUUUAAGUUUUAAAGCUCAAAAAAGACGGAUUUCUACCUUGUAACCACCAGAUAUAUUCUCAUUGGCAUAGAUAAAAUUAAAUCUAUAGCAUAGUUAGCAAUUAUUGUAUUUUUUUAUUAUUUUAAAACCAAAAGUAGGAUUUCUAUAUGUAUACGUCCAUUUCGACACAGAUUAUUAUUUUUAAGUUUUAAAGCGCAAAAAAGACGGAUUUCUACCUUGUAAUCACAAGAUAUAUUCUGAUAGGCAUAGAUUAAAUUAAAUCUAUAGCCUAGUUUGCAAGUAAUUUAUUAUUUUUCAAAAGGACCCGCUUUGAAAAACCGAAAGUAGGAUUUCUAGACGUAUACGUCCAUUUCAACAAACGCGUUUAUUUUUAUACGCCCGUCUAUGACGGGACGUAUUAUGGUAUACCCCGCGUCUGUCCGUCCGUCCGUCCGUCUGUCCGUCCGUCCGUCUGUUAAUGUCGUACGCUACGUCAAAUAUCCUUUGACAGAUAUUCUUCAAAUUUUAACACAAUCUUAAUAUUGAUAAACCCUGAUCCCCUUUCGUUUUUGACGGAAUUCUGAAUUGUCGUUCCAGAGUUAUGGGACUUUGUUCGUCAAAAUUUCGUGAUUUCAUUGAAUGUCCUACUGUAGCUCAAAUAUCCUUCGAUGGAUUUUUUUCAAAUUUCAACACAAUCUUAAUAUUGAUAAACCCUGAUCCCCUUUCGUUUUUGACGGAAUUCUGAAUUGUCGUUCCAGAGUUAUGGGACUUUGUUCGUCAAAAUUUCGUGAUUUCAUUGAAUGUCCUACUGUAGCUCAAAUAUCCUUCGAUGGAUUUUUUUCAAAUUUCAACACAAUCUUAAUAUUGAUAAACCCUGAUCCCAUUUCGUUUUUGACGGAAUUCUGAAUUGUCGUUCCAGAGUUAUGGGACUUUGUUCGUCAAAAAUUGAACAAGGUGAGCUUUUUUCUAUUCCGAUUGUACACUACCACUUACCCAUCUACAUUUCUCUUUUAUUAUUGGUCAAAAUAUCUAUAACAGGUUUACUUCAACUCCAUAUCCUCUAAAGAAAUGCAUACAUAUACUCAAAAAAAGAUAUGGUAUGAAUGUCAAGGAGACGGCGCUCCAUGCUCAUGUACUUAUAAAAUAAACCAUGUAUUCAAAUACAAAUAAACUGAAGUAAACAAAUGAUUCAAAGGGUUAUUUAUUACCUUACUACUUCAUUGGCGAACGACGGGCGUAUCAUGCGCUCAUGGCGCAGCUCCUCAGUUUAGUUUUAGAGCACAAAAAAUACGGAUUUCUACAUUGUUACCACCAGAUAUAUAAUAAAUUGUUUUUGUUAAAUGCUUUUGCCAGGCCCGUGGUAUUGACAGUCACUAUUGAUUAAAUGGUUAAGAAAUAGCGGCCCUAAUAAUUGUUAUAAUUUUUUAUCGUGGUGAGAGUUUAUCACAGUGUUACUUUAAUAUUGCUCACUAUCAUAAAGGCGCCGUUCAUCCGAUAAUAACCCCCAUAAAACUUGACAAUAGCAGUAAAAACACCGUUUGUAACACUUACACACUUCAGUGAUUUCACUCUGCUUGGUCAAAAUUCCUGCCAAAUACCCGAAUGACGAGCGCUGUGAAUGGUUGCUUAUCAAUUUUCAAUAGGUAAUUUACUACGCUAGGGGGAGGAGUUUCGUCGAUUCGGUCAGUUGAUUGACUUUGGCGUGUACAGUAAUAAACAGAAGCCACUUAGAUAGCGCUGCGGAUAUGAUAAUUGGCAGAUUUUAGGGCGAAGUGAUAUCGCCGAUGCUUUUGAUCUGGGCGAUUAAAGGGAAGCCACGGCGAUAUAAUCGCCCAAAACGCCCAGUUGCUUGAUCCCUGAUAUUCUAAUUGGCAUAGAUAAAAUAUGUUUCUUAUUUAUACUAAAAUUUACUUUCAUUUCAAGGUGUGUUGCUUUAAUAAAUGGCCCUUCUACAUAAUAUAUAAGUAGGCUGUUUAUCUGGUGACAUUUAAUUAGCUUAUGUUUUGACAUAUUUUUAAAAGGGAAACUCAUUAUACCCCCACAAACGAAGUUUAGGGGGGUAUAUAGCAGGGAACUUGUCUGUCGGUCGGUCGGUCUGUCGGUCCGUAUUAAGUGUCCGCUCUCUAAUUCAAGUAGUUUUCAUCCGAUCUUCACCAAACUUGGUCAGAAGUUAUAUCUAGAUGAUGUCUAGGCUAAGUUCGAACAUGGGCCUUGCCGGGUCAAAAACUAGGUCACGGGGUCACUUGGUGCGUUUUAAACAUUCAGCAUGGUGUCCUCUCUCUUAUUCAAGUAGUUUUCAUCUGAUCUUCACCAAACUUGGUCAGAAGUUGUAUCUAGAUGAUCUCAAGGCCAAGUUCGAAUAUGGGCCUUGCCGGGUCAAAAACUAGGUCACAGGGUCACUUAGUACGUUUUACACAUUGAGCAUGGUGUCCGCUCUCUAUUUCAAGUAGUUUAAAUCCGAUCUUCACCACACUUGGUCAGUAGUUGUAACUAGAUGAUGUGUAGGUCAAGUUCGAACAUGGGCCAUGCCGGGUCCAAAACUAGGUCACGGGGUCACUUUGUGUGUUUUAAACCUCACCAUGUUUUCCGCUCUCUAAUUCAAGUAGUUUUUAUCCAAUCUUCACCAAAAUUGGUCAGAAGUAGUAUCUUGAUAAUGUCUAGGGCAAGUUUGAAUAUGGGUCAUGCCAGGUCAAAACAAGGUCACGGGGUCACUUAGUGCGUUUUAAACAUCACAAUGUUGUCCGCGAUCUAAUUCAAGUAGUUUUCAUCCAAUCUUCACCAAACUUGGUCAGAAGUUGUAUCUAGAUGAGGUCUAGGUUAAGUUUGAAUAUGGGUCAUGCCGGGUCAAAAACUAGGUCCUGGGGUAUCUUAGUGCGUUUUAAACCUCACCAUGUUGUCCGCUCUCUAAUUCAAGUAGUUUUCAUCCAAUCCUCACCAAACUUGGUCACAAGUUUUAUCUAAAUGAACCCUAGGACAAGUUUUAACAUGGGCCAUUCCGGGCCUAAAACUAGGUAACAGGGUCACUUAGUGCAUUUUUUAACAUUCAGUAUGGUGUCCGCUCUCUAAUUCAAGAAGUUUACAUCCGAUCUUCACCAAACUUGGUCAGAAGUUUUAUGGAGAUGAUCUUAAGGCCAAGUUAGAAUAUGGGCCUUUCUGGGUCAAAAACUAGUUCCAGAGGUGAAUUAGUGCGUUUUAAAAAAUUGAGCAUGGUGUCCGCUGUUUUUUGUAAAGACGACAUGCAAAUAUUAUGUGUCAAUGCGGCAUGUGGGGGUAUUCGUCACGUCUGUGACAAAGCUCUAGUUUCAAUUUGACUACUCGUACAUUAGUUUGAGUUGUACAACCCAAUGUUUAUUGCAAUCAACAUUAUUCUCUUCUUUAGGUUGCAUUCAAUUAUUCGAUUUCUCUUUAAUUAUUGUUGGAAUUAAAUUUCAACUCAUCACAUGUCUUAAAGGUCAGUGUGUGUGGUCUCUUACCAAGGCCCAGAAGUUCGAUUGGAAGCAGACGUCACUUCUAUUUGUACUUAAAAAAUGCAGGUUAUAGUUGGCAUUCAAGCAGUGUCAAUAUCUUCUACAGAUAUUAAAUAAAACUUAACAUUUAUGUUCUCAGUCUUUAUAUACAGUCAGGAUAUAAACUUAAAAUUGUGAACAUCUCAUUUGCAGAAUUUUUCCUCUUUUUGCACUGGAACAGUUAGGUUAAGUUUUUGCAUACAAGAUGAAAAUCUGUAAAGGUUUUUGUGCAAUGAGUACAUGUAUACAUGUAUAUCUCAGUAACAACUACAGAGUGUCAAUUUAAGCGUUUAAAUAGCUGGGACAUUAUUUUAUUAUUAUUAUUAUAUAAUAAAAUUAUUUAUUAUUUUAAACUACUGAUCAACCCUGCAAUGAAGAAAAUGUUUUACCUAUGUGUAAAUGUAGGAAAAUCAGGGUAAGGUUUAUUUAUAUUGUAACAUCUACUAAAAUUGAAUUUAAUUUCAAUUAUGUCUUUAUGUUCUUUAUUGUAGGCCAGUGACUGACAAAUACUUUUCCAUAAUACAAUCGAGUAGAGAAAGCUGUAAUGGGACUUUUCUUAUCCAAAGAUAUGUUCAUAAACAUUUUUUUAAUGAUAGGAUGGAUGCAUAAAUAAUUAGUUUUUUUUAACUUAAAUUAUGUAAAUGAUGAUAAAUAUAUGUGCAUAUGUUAGGUAAAACAUUAAGACAUUCCAGAAUAAUAGUAUAGAUAUAAAUUCCUUAGAUUUGUUUAUUAGAAAUUAUGUUCCCAAUUUUUUUUUUUAAAGAUUCUUUUUAAUUUAAAUAUAUGUUGAAUGUUUUAUAAUUUAUUAAGCAAUUGUACAGCUGCCUGUCUAUUUACAUACAUCAACAUACAAAAUAUAUGUUAUAAGUUACUGGGCACACUUGCAUAACAAACCUUAUACCUAACAAAAACUGACCAUAAUGGUUAUUUUUAUUUGCAGGUGUCAAUGUGGUCACUGGGCAUGAUAUUUUCAGGCAUAUUAAUUAUUUUUAGGGCAAAAAUGACUGAUAUUACAGUACUGUGCCAUGUAUAAACAUUAAAUUACUAUGCUGUGGGCAAGGUUGUGAUGAUGACAGGUUCUUGUUAUUGUUAUUUGAAGUCAAGUCUGUGGCUGUUAAAUAAAAAAAUAUGUAGAGAAUACAAGAAUACACAUGUACAUAUUUUUA